UACGUAGGGCGCAAGCGUUGUCCGGAAUUAUUGGGCGUAAAGAGCUCGUAGGCGGUUCGUCGCGUCGGCUGUGAAAACCUGAGGCUCAACCUCAGGCCUGCAGUCGAUACGGGCGGACUUGAGUACUGCAGGGGAGACUGGAAUUCCUGGUGUAGCGGUGAAAUGCGCAGAUAUCAGGAGGAACACCGGUGGCGAAGGCGGGUCUCUGGGCCGAUACUGACGCUGAGGAGCGAAAGCGUGGGGAGCGAACAGG
rnacentral:rRNA from 1 species